CCGGGAUAGCUCAGUUGGUAGAGCAGAGAURACUGAAAAUCCUCGUGUCA
rnacentral:tRNA from 1 species